CUCAAUAUCUCUAUCUAGUUGGGUUUCUGUCCUCCAUUCGGAUUCACUGAUUCAUAUUUCUAAUUUCUAAUUUUAGAUCGGUGCCUCACUAUUUUAUUAUUAUUUUAUAAUAUGCUAGAUUAUCUGAUUAGGCUAGCCUGCACUGUUCCAUUUGGUAGCCACAUAUGGCUAUUAAAAUUAAAUAAAAUUGAAAAUCUACUUCCUCAGUCACACUAGCCACAUUUCAAGUCUGCAAUAUCUAUGUGCUAAUAGUUACUGUAUUGGACCGUACGUGUGAAACAAUUACAUCACUCCAGAGAGUUCUAAUGGACAAUGCUGGGCUAGUCACCUCUGCUCCUCCUUGCUUCUGUUAAUCUCUUUUUCAAAGAUCUUUGAAAUUUUUGCCUAACUAGCAAAUAAAUUUUAGAAUAAAACCUUAUUAACUUAAUUACUAUUCUAACUCUAAAUGUUUACAUUACCUUGAGAAAGGAUACCUUUGCAGUAGUUAAUCUUUCCAUCCAGGACCUGACGUCUCUCUUCAUUUAGCUAAAUUUUCCUUAUGGCUUCUAAUAAGAUAAUUACAUUUUCUACAGAAAGAUUGUGUACAUCUCUCAAAAUUUAUUCCUAAGUAUUUAAAGUGUAAAGUACUAUUAAUGGACUCUCUUUGUUCAUUUUGAAUUCCAACUGACUUCGUUCUUUUUUUUUUUCUUUUUUUUUGAGAGAGGGUCUCACCAUGUUGCCCAGACUGGUCUCAAACUCCUGGGCUCAAGCAAUCCUCCUGCCUCGGCCUCCCAAAGUGUUGUGAUUCUAAGUGUGAGCCACUGCACCUGGCCUCCCUCAAGUGACUUUGUUCUGUAUAAUGCAGAAAAUUUUCUUCUCCCAGAUUUUGAAAUCUUUAGUAUACCAGGCAACUCUUGUACAUCCUUCCUUCAGAUUCUCUAGUUAUUAGCGUUUUGUUACAUUUGCUUUGUCAUUUUCUCUCUGUCUCUCUCUCUAUAUGCAUAUGUAUGUACAUACAUCUCUAUGCCUAUAUAUAACUCAGGACCAUACGAAAGUAAUUCUUUUUAAAAUAUCAUUCAUGGGAAAUCAUUCCAUGUCUUUAUGAAGCAACUGGGAAGGAGGUAGCCCACUAUCAGAUAAUCACGGUGUAAGUCUGUCAUUGCACCUCCAUCCCUAGAGGCCCUUUUGUUCCACAGAGCUGUCUGUGAAGAGAGGCCAUUUGCCUUGUCUUGUGAGCAGAUCGUGGAUGUGGUUUUGCUUAUGUGAGAGACGGAGACAAGCCAAGUGAUUCUGAGCCCCUGGAAUCAUAGUCAAAGGUGAUCCAUCCAAUUUGGAGGAAAUAACUUCAUUAAAAAAAUUAAUUCACCUAUUAGAAUGGCUAAAAUCCUCAAACAGUGACAACACCAAAUGCUGGCGAGGAUGUGGAGCAACAGUAACACUCAUUGCUGGUGGGAAUGCAAAACGGUACAGCCACUUGGAAGACAGUUUCGCGUUUCUUACAAAACUAAACUUAUGAUUGCCAUGUAAUCCAGCAAUAGCUCCCUUUGAUAUUUAACAAAAGGAGUUGAAAACUUACGUCCACACAAAAACUUACACAUGAGUGUUAUAGCAGCUUAUUCAUAAUUACCCACACUUGGAAGCAAUCAAAAUGCCCUUUAGUGGGUGAAUAAAUAAACGUGGCACAUCCCACAUCCGGGCAAUGGAAUAUUAUUCAGUGCUAAAUACAAAUGAGCUAUCAAGCCAUGAAAAGACAUGGAGGAAACUUAAAUGCUUAUUACUAAGUGGAAGAAGGCAGUAUGAAAUGGCUAUAUACUGUAUGAUUCCAAUUACAUUUUGGAAAAAGAAAAACUCUGCCAAUAGAAAAAAGAUUAGUGGUUGUGAGGACUUAAGAGGGAGGGAGGGAUGAAUAGGCCGAGCCCAGAGGAUUUUUAGGGCAGUGGAACUGUCUUGUAUGAUACUAUAAUGGUAGGUACAUGUCAACAUGCUUGUUAAAACCCAUGAGUGUACAUCAAGAAUGAGCAUUAAUGUAACGUAAACUUUACAUGGGUAGUAAUGAUGUGUCAGUGUAGGCUCAUCAACUGUAACCAAUGUACCACUGUGGUUUGGAAAUGUCAAUAGUGGGGGAGGCUGUGCAUGUGGGGAGUUGGGGGCAGAGGGUAUAUGGG
rnacentral:lncRNA from 10 species